rnacentral:rRNA from 1 species
UACGUAGGUGUCGAGCGUUGUCCGGAUUUAUUGGGCGUAAAGAGCCCGCAGGCGGCUUGGCAAGUUUGAGGUGAAAUCUCCCGGCUCAACUGGGAGGGUGCCUUGAAAACUGCUAGGCUUGAGGCAGGGAGAGGGAUGUGGAAUUCCAGGUGUAGUGGUGAAAUGCGUAGAUAUGACAUAGAACACCAAUUGCGAAGGCAGCUUGCUACACAGUUAUUGACGCUGAGGCACGAAAGCGUGGGGAUCAAACAGG